rnacentral:rRNA from 1 species
CCUACGGGGGGCAGCAGUGGGGGAUAUUGCACAAUGGGGGGAACCCUGAUGCAGCGACGCCGCGUGGGUGAUGGCGCGCUUCGGGGCGUAAAGCUCUAUCGUCAGGGACGAUGAUGACGGUACCUGACGAGGAAGCCCCGGCUAACUACGUGCCAGCAGCCGCGGUAAUACGUAGGGGGCGAGCGUUUUCCGGAUUUACUGGGGGUAAAGGGGGCGUAGGCGGACUUUUAAGUGAAAGGUGAAAUACACGGGACCAACGCGGGGACUGCAUUUGAAACUGGAAGGCUAGAGUGCAGGAGAGGAGAAUGGAAUUCCUAGUGUAGCGGUGAAAUGCGUAGAGAUUAGGAGGAACACCAGUGGCGAAGGCGA